AAUUAGCACAACCAAAAUGUAAAUAGAUGCAUUGAUAUUCACUUAUUGCCUGUGUUACUGGAUUUAGUUUGCGUGGAUAAAGUCGAAAGAUAUUCUAUAAACAAAAAUGUUUUCGUUUGUAAAAAUAAAUUAAACCCUUUUCACCUUAUGUACUGGGCUGGCUAUCGCACAUCGCAUCCCAUCCAUUCACAUCUCCGGCUAUCUCAAAGCAGCGCUCGGCAGGAUGGAAAGUGAAUGCAGCGCAAAACAGAUAGAAAAAUCUGCAAGUAGCACACUGAUCUAAAAUAAGUAGAUGCAUCUUCAUUGACAUCUUUUGGAAGAUUUAGAUGUGUCGCCCCCCUCGGGAAUACUUGAAAUGUGUCGAUUUCUGAAUGCUGUUUGAUUAUCUAGGUGAAUGUGGGAACAAUAUUCAGUAAACACGACAGCACUGCAAUGUCAAAUGCAUCGAUCCAAGCGUCUCGUACAAUCGAACUGCUGCGGAAGAUAAAAAUAUAAUAAUUAAGGUACAAGAUAUCUUGUUACAGACUAAUAAUAAUAAAUAAAUGCCUCAUUUUUACGUUGAUUACGUCUCUUGGCACUCAAUGUUAAACUACAUAAUUCUAUUCUGUUUUAUUUUAUGUGAUUCGUUUAAAAUUUUGGUUCUUUAAUAACUUGGUUGUCUAAACAGUUUUAGCCAUGAUUUAUCCCAUAAUCCGAACAAAGUUCCGAGUCAAACUAUGACGGGCUGAAGGCGUUUAUUUGACAAGUGAAGAGCACGUUGUUCAGGAGCAUAUGCUUAUCGAUGCAUCAGCUUAAUAAGAUGCAGACAAAGGUUUUGUUAAACUCCUUUGUUAAGGAAUCAAUGCUUGUCGAAUUAAUUUCUUGUUUAACUUUUGAAAAGUGUUUUAAUUAGAAAUCCUCUAUAUAGAGAUGAGCGGAAGUUUUAUAUGACGAAUCGGCAACGCUGUUUGUUUUGUUUACAACUGCUUCCAACACUUGCCACAAAGCUGGAUGUUCAAACUUUGUGCGUGACUUUGUGUGGUGCAAGUUGUUUUGUUUACGAUUGCUAAUUAAUGGUCGAGCUUUAUUUUACAAAAUUUUGGAAAAAAUAGCAGCGCAAUCGAAAAAAUAUGAAAUGCAUUGCAAAGAGCAGCGCAAAUCAUAUCAGUAGAAGUGAAUCAAGCAGCAGCAAUGGAAGGUUUUACGAGAAGAGAAGAUACAAAAGUUUCUACAUGAACAUGAGUACAUGUCGAAAGCAUAAUUAAUUAAUUAUAUCUUUUUUAUUACAAUUUAAUAUGCCAUCAAUUCAUCGAUAUCAAAAGUAAAUAAUUAUAAUUUGUUCAAUUCUGAUUCCAAUACCGUUCGAACGACGCAUUCCUACAAACAAUAAACAUGUUCGUUUGGCUCACACUUUGACAUUUCUCUCUGCACGAUUGGCUCACAAUGGCCGCUUCCGCAGAUCUCUAUAAUGUAGGAUUACUAGUUUUAAUUUAUCAUUGUUGAUACCGAUGAGGAAAGUCGAACAUUGACUAUUUUCUCAAUAGGCUCCUAAAGUCCUAUCGGGAUUCUUGUUUUAAACCACAAUAUAUGGUUCAAGAGUACAUAUUUACUCAUUUUUUGACGUUUUUAUUAACCGUAGUUGAAAAUAUAUAAUUCAAGCAUAAUUUUUCAAAUCGACGUAUCUAACUUUUUCACUGAUCUGAGUAAAUUCAUGGUCAAUGUUGACGACCAUUUCACUAAAAUAGUUUUUUUUUUAAAAAGACUUUUCCUAAGUUUUUUCGUGCUUAACAUCACCAGGGAUAUAGCACGCACUAGGUAAGAAACAAAACCUACUCAUUCCAUAUCAUUUUCACAAUGAAUUUUGACAAAAAUACACAUACACCGGGUGGGUUAGAGAUACGUCAUGCCAGAUACGUCGCUUUUGUAUGGUGCCAGUUUGGUGUAUCUGUUACUUUUGAUUUUGGCUAGAUACGUCGUUUGGUUUUCUCAUAUAUAAAAACGGUGUAUCUAUCAGUUAAGUUGUAAA